UACAGAGGGGGCAAGCGUUGUUCGGAAUUACUGGGCGUAAAGGGCGCGUAGGCGGCCUUCUAAGUCGAACGUGAAAUCCCCGGGCUCAACCCGGGAACUGCGUCCGAGACUGGAAGGCUCGAAUCCGGGAGAGGGAUGUGGAAUUCCAGGUGUAGCGGUGAAAUGCGUAGAUAUCUGGAGGAACACCGGUGGCGAAGGCGGCAUCCUGGACCGACACUGACGCUGAGGCGCGAAAGCUAGGGUAGCAAACGGG
rnacentral:rRNA from 1 species